rnacentral:rRNA from 1 species
UACGUAGGUGGCAAGCGUUGUCCGGAAUUAUUGGGCGUAAAGCGCGCGCAGGCGGUUUCUUAAGUCUGAUGUGAAAGCCCACGGCUUAGCCGUGGAAGGUCAUUGGAAACUGGGAGACUUGAGUGCAGAAGAGAAGAGCGGAAUUCCACGUGUAGCGGUGAAAUGCGUAGAGAUGUGGAGGAACACCAGUGGCGAAGGCGGCUCACUGGCCCGGAACUGACGCUGAGGCGCGAAAGCGUGGGGAGCAAACAGG